GACGAACGCUGGCGGCGUGCCUAAUACAUGCAAGUUGAGCGCUGAAGGUUGGUCCUUGUACCAACUGGAUGAGCAGCGAACGGGUGAGUAACGCGUGGGGAAUCUGCCUGGGAGCGGGGGACAACAUGUGGAAACGAAUGCUAAUACCGCAUAAAAACUUUAAACACAAGCUUAAAGGUUGAAAGAUGCAAUUGCAUCACUCAAAGAUGAUCCCGCGUUGUAUUAGCUAGUUGGUGAGGGAAAGGCCCACCAAGGCGAUGAUACGUAGCCGACCUGAGAGGGUGGUCCGCCCCCUUGGGACUGGGGACACGCCCCAACCCCCUCGGGAGGCAGCAGUAGGGAAUCUUCGGCCAUGGGCGGAAGUCUUACCGCGCAACGCCGCGUGAGUGAAGGAGGUUUUCGGAUCGUAAAACUCUGUUGGUAGGGAAGAACGUUGGUGAGAGUGGAAAGCUCAUCAAGUGACGGUAACUACACAGAAAGGGACGGCUAACUACGUG
rnacentral:rRNA from 1 species